rnacentral:rRNA from 1 species
UACAGAGGUGUCAAACGUUGUCCGGAAUUACUGGGCGUAAAGGGCGCGUAGGCGGUCCUAUAAGUCAGAUGUGAAAGCUCCGGGGCUCAAACCCGGGAGUUGCAUCUGAUACUGUAGGACUUGAGUUCGGUAGAGGAGGGCGGAAUUCCAGGUGUAGCGGUGAAAUGCGUAGAUAUCUGGAGGAACACCCGUGGCGAAGGCGGCUCUCUGGUCCGAAACUGACGCUGAGGUGCGAAAGCUAGGGUAGCAAACAGGAUUAGAUACCCUUGUAGU